AACGAACGCUGGCGGCAGGCCUUAUACAUGCAAGUCGAACGAGAUUGUUACUUCGGUAACAUGAGAGUGGCGCACGGGUGAGUAACGCGUAGAGAUCUACCAAGCAGUGGGGGACAACUAUUGGAAACGAUAGCUAAAACCGCAUAUGCCUUUAAGUCUUAAGACUGCAAGGGAAAUAUUUAUAGCUCUAGGAUCGGCCUGUACGGUAUCGGUUUGUUGGUGAGGUAAUGGCUCACCAAGACUAUGACGCCUAACUGGUUUGAGAGGAUGAUCAGUCACACUGGAACUGAGACACGGUCCAG
rnacentral:rRNA from 1 species